CCUACGGGUGGCAGCAGUGGGGAAUAUUGCACAAUGGGCGCAAGCCUGAUGCAGCCAUGCCUCGUGUGUGAAGAAGGCCUUCGGGUUGUAAAGCACUUUCAGCGGGGAGGAAGGCGGUGAGGUUAAUAACCUCAUCGAUUGACGUUACCCGCAGAAGAAGCACCGGCUAACUCCGUGCCAGCGGCCGCGGUAAUACGGAGGGUGCAAGCGUUAAUCGGAAUUACUGGGCGUAAAGCGCACGCAGGCGGUCUGUCAAGUCGGAUGUGAAAUCCCCGGGCUCAACCUGGGAACUGCAUUCGAAACUGGCAGGCUAGAGUCUUGUAGAGGGGGGUAGAAUUCCAGGUGUAGCGGUGAAAUGCGUAGAGAUCUGGAGGAAUACCGGUGGCGAAGGCGGCCCCCUGGACAAAGACUGACGCUCAGGUGCGAAAGCGUGGGGAGCAAACAGGAUUAGAUACCCGUGUAGUC
rnacentral:rRNA from 1 species